UACGUAGGGUGCGAGCGUUAUUCGGAAUUACUGGGCGUAAAGCGUGCGCAGGCGGUUUUGUAAGUCAGAUGUGAAAUCCCCGGGCUUAACCUGGGAAUGGCAUUUGGGACUGCAAGGCUUGAGUGCGGCAGAGGAGACUGGAAUUCCUGGUGUAGCAGUGAAAUGCGUAGAUAUCAGGAGGAACACCGAUGGCGAAGGCAGGUCUCUGGGCUGACACUGACGCUCAUGCACGAAAGCGUGGGGAGCAAACAGG
rnacentral:rRNA from 1 species